AGAGUCGGUCAGGCAAUCGCUCUUUGUGCAAUACAAAGGGAGGAAAGUCCGGGCUCCAGAGGGCAGGGUGCCAGGUAACGCCUGGGAGGUGAAAGCCUACGGAAAGUGCCACAGAAAAUAUACCGCCUUAUUUUUUUCAGUACUAAAAUAAGGUAAGGGUGAAAUGGUGCGGUAAGAGCGCACCGCACGGUUGGCAACAGUCGUGGCAGGGAAAACCCCACCUGGAGCAAGACCAAAUAGGAAUCCUGCUUACCUUUGCGGUAAGAACGUAUGGCCCGUACGGGAUUCGGGUAGGUUGCUUGAGACUUGUGGUGACGCAGGUCCUAGAUGAAUGAUUGUCCGCGACAGAACCCGGCUUAUCGACCGACUUCAACU
rfam:Legionella nautarum strain ATCC 49506 Lnau_ctg001, whole genome shotgun sequence.